AUUGAACGCUGGCGGCAUGCCUUACACAUGCAAGUCGAACGGCAGCGCGGGGGGUAACCCCUGGCGGCGAGUGGCGAACGGGUGAGUAAUACAUCGGAACAUAUCCUGUAGCGGGGGAUAACCUCUCGAAAGAGAGGCUAAUACCGCAUACGACCUACGGGUGAAAGAGGGGGAUCGCAAGACCUCUCACUAUUGGAGCGGCCGAUGUCGGAUUAGCUAGUUGGUGAGGUAAAAGCUCACCAAGGCGACGAUCCGUAGCUGGUCUGAGAGGACGACCAGCCACACUGGAACUGAGACACGGUCCAGACUCCUACGGGAGGCAGCAGUGGGGAAUAUUGGACAAUGGGCGAAAGCCUGAUCCAGCCAUGCCGCGUGUGUGAAGAAGGUCUUCGGAUUGUAAAGCACUUUAAGUUGGGAGGAAGGGCAGUAAGUUAAUACCUUGCUGUUUUGACGUUACCGACAGAAUAAGCACCGGCUAACUCUGUGCCAGCCGCCGCCGUAACAC
rnacentral:rRNA from 1 species